rnacentral:misc_RNA from 1 species
UGCCCCUCACUUGCCAAUACGUCUAGAUCAGCCAGGGCGUCGGCAUGUGUAGCGUAUUAUGUUGGGCUCUCUCGAGAUAAGGAUACGAUGUCCCUUUAUCGGUUGGUUUCCUGUGUGUGCGGCCCGUUCGUUUUUUUUGUUACUUUCGCAUCGUUCGGUGCAUUCUGGGGGCUGUGUUGGCUUUUGGUGGCUUGCUUGGCCUUUUGGCUUUGCUUGUUGCUACUUGUCGGGCUGCUUUCGGGAAUGUCGACCGUGGAGGUGCAUGAGUGGUGUUUGGUUUGUUACGUGUGGAUGGCUGUUUGCUUGUGCAACAACGUUCACGCUGCAUACCUCUUCAGUUUUGCGGCAAGGCUUGGUUUGGCUUGUGCAUAUUGUGGGUUUCCUGUGUUGCAUACCUAGUUGAUGGAAAAGUGUGGGUUUUACGAUUUUCAUUUUCGUCUUGCGUCGUUCUUCUGGCGUGGGAUGAACAAUGAAGCGAUCUUUAUGAUCCAUCGUGCUGUUGCGUUUGCAACAAUGAUGUGGCCUAUGAAGCAUCGUUUGGUCUCUUGUAUACGGAAGCUCAUUUGGGCUUGGGUCUUUAUAAGAUCUUCGUUACGCCCUUGUUAAGCGUUCUCGCUUCUCCUAAACGAUUG